CAAGGAGUGGCCCCAGCGGGUAACGGAGCUCACAGCCGCGGCCCUAACAGUACGCGGGGGGGCCUUGAGACGACCAGACCACAGGUGAAUUGGGGACUUCAAGAUAAACACAGGUCAGUUCUUCCCACAAGGCACGCUAUACACCACCAUCCUAAGUGUUCCAGAGGAGUGGUGACUGGAAGCCAGAGAAGGACCAAAAACAGAAAAGGAAGUGUAGUAAGAAAUUAGAAUAAAAAAAUAAACCAAGAACGAAUCAAGCAAGAAUUGAAGAAAGUUCAAAGGUACACGACAGGCAGUCGGACGACAUACCAAAGGCGCGUCAAGCAGUUCACCGGAAAUGUGUUGGGGACCAGCUACAGGUAUGUCAAGGACGCGGAAAAGACACAGGAGACUCCAGCUAACAGGCUUACCAAGACGUGUUGGAGACGACCAUAUGUAGCAACUGAAGACACGUGCAUGUAUACCACACACACACACAAACACACACAGAAGCUGCAAAAACAAAAACCUUAGUUGCCUUCAUCUUCGAGAAAAUGAAAAUAGGUCUGGUUUGCUUGCAUGCCAGAUGAUCCAAAUUUAUAUUGAAGAUUGACAGGUAAAUACAUGACCCAGAAAAAACACAAACUGUACAAGCAUGACAUAGCAAAACUAAAUAUGAAAGACCAACCCAAAAUCCAUUUAUGCAACUCCCAGACAAAAACGUAGAUACAGGUAUACAGUAUGUAUGACACAUACAAAAACAUCUUUGUAUGAUACAAGAGAAAAACGUAUAAUCAUGGCCUCGGCAAAUAUAUAAGCUUGACCCACGUAAAGGUAAUUAUACGUGCAUGACCCAGGCCAAAGCACGUGAACACACUCGGGCGGGAACAAAAGCUCACUAGCCUUCACCGCCGGAAAGGUGAAACCAGGUCUAGUUCGAUAGAAAGCCAGAGGAACACGACUGACCUGCCUGAGUGAGACUUCGCCAUCACUACCUCCAUCCGGGUUGGCUCAAGUUCAACUGGCAAGGGUGUUGGAGCGUCACCUGCGUGGUGCAAAUACCAAGAACAUCGGUGCUGUACAGAUGUCGGAAUAACUCUCUGGUCAUGCUCUGGAACGCAUGUGAAUGUCACUAAUGGUAGAGUCAUAACAAAGAAUUAUUUAUAGUAGACAUGACGGGAUCAGGGAGGCGGUACACACUGGGACGCUCUUGAUGCUGCCGCAGAUGUGAACCAUUGUUUCCCUUUUCCCGUGUGAUUUUAUCAAGAUGUGAACCAAAUAUAUUAGAUCAUAAAUGGUG